UACGUAGGGUGCAAGCGUUGUCCGGAAUUAUUGGGCGUAAAGAGCUCGUAGGCGGUCUGUCGCGUCGAAUGUGAAAACCCGGGACUCAACUCCGGGCCUGCAUUCGAUACGGGCAGACUAGAGUUCGGUAGGGGAGACUGGAAUUCCUGGUGUAGCGGUGAAAUGCGCAGAUAUCAGGAGGAACACCGGUGGCGAAGGCGGGUCUCUGGGCCGAUACUGACGCUGAGGAGCGAAAGCGUGGGGAGCGAACAGG
rnacentral:rRNA from 1 species